rnacentral:lncRNA from 1 species
GCUUUUUAAAAAUACUCAGUGUCAGAAACCUUGCCCCAGAUUCAGCAGGUCAGAGCUGGGCUCUGGUAUCUGACUUUUUUUUUUUGUUGUUGCUGAAGUAUAUUAGCUCUGAGCUAACAUCUGCUGCCAGUCUUCCUCUUUUUGCUUGAGGAAGACUGUUGCUGAGCUAACAUCUAUGCCAAUCUUCCUCUGUUUUAUAUGGGACACCACCACAGUGUGGCUUGACGAGCAGUGCUAGGUCCGUGCCCAGGAUCUGAACCUCGAACCCUAGGCUGCCGAAGCAGAGCAUGCGAACUUAACCACUAUGCCACCGGGCCAGCCCCCUCAGAAUGAAGAUGUGAGAGUUGGAGCUGGAGCAGCUGAGGAGUCACGCACUCAGGAUUGCAAACGGAAGCCAAGUAUUGACAAGGGUGGCAGCACAACAAGGAAAACACAUUGGGCCCCUGACACUGCUGAACAACCACUGUAUUCUGGCAUCUCUUUGUCAGUUGUUGAACCUCUAUCCUAAGUAAUACCAGAUCUAAACAUUUAGUACAACAGACUUCCUGAUCCUGAAACCGAGUGUGCCCUUUGUAAAGAAUGUACAAUCGAGUUAGUCAAGCUUUCUUUUGCUUAUGGGUGCAAGGACCCAAUUCUACCUCAGUGAUCAAGAGUGACUCCUUAUUUCAGAACAUGUUAUAUAAUUGGGAUGGUGAAGACACUGCAGAAACUCAUCUGGUAUUUUCAGCUGAUCACGUAUGCUUGGGUUCUUAGUUUCCGUCUUUCUGCCUGAUACUGACCAACCCCUCUUUUGUCCCCCCACACUCCAAUUCAAAAUUUGUGCAAGUGGUGCCAAGGGUUUUGUGUAGGAGGGCUGCCCAAAUGAGCUUUUCUUGCCAUCUAGCCUCUCAGGCAAUGUGGUGAAUUCAAGGCCACACCUGCCACUUAGUAAGAAUGCAAACAAAUUAUUGAGAACUAUAAUUAUUCAUGUAUUAACACACAGGAUAAGUUAAGAUGACUAAGGAUAAGCCACGGAGCAACCACUUAAUAGAAAUCCUGAAUUUUUGGGAUGGCUCUUAGGAACACUAAGUAUGCUUUCCUUCUGAGCUGGUUGCUCAUUGGCGAAGAUUCCAGCAAGAGACUUAACUCUAGCCUGUGACCUUCUUGGGUCCUGCUGAGUCCCUUUUUAAUCUAUACUCAGAAUGUCAUAAAGAGAGGCUGCUGAAGCUCCCCCCAACCCAAGCCGGUUAGCAGCUCUGGUCUACUCAUGGAAGUCUUUAAUCCAUCCAGAUUAAAAUAACACCCAGUUGACUGCUGGAUACACUUCAUCGUUGUGUCUGAGAACUCCCUCUCAACUUCCGAGGUUAUUCUCUGAUACCAUGCUUGAGGUACUCGAUAGUAUUUCAUUUUCCCAAUUUUUCAAGUAAGGAAGCUGAAAAGUCACACAGCAGCAUCGGGGUUUAAACCUUCCAUGGUCUGAGGCCAAAGCCCAUUUUGUUUCCAGCUCUCACUGAGCAGAGUUGAGGCUGGAAGACCAUCUGACAGCCUUCCAGCCCCGUCAGCAUCUUUACUGAGUAGCUUUGUUAUUUGAUGUAAACAGUCGUAAAUUCCCAGAACCGGAGACACACCCAUAUAAAAAUGUUAAUUACUAAAAUGCCUCAUAAAACCAAAGGAAAAUGAACAGUGAAUUCAAGUCCCACUAGAAUUCUCUGUCUCUGGAUCCCCUCCACUAGGACAAACAAUUGAGAACUGACAAGAUUUAAUUUUUCUUAAGUUCUAUCCAGUCAGAUCUCUCAAAUCUGACCCCUCCAGCCAUUCUGUGAAACUUAUUAAUUACGGAGAAAACGAUGACUGACGCUAUGCUUUAAGCUGCUCUUCAAAUGGAAACAUAUGAGAAACUGAGGCUUGUUUAAGUAACAGACCUUCUCCAGGCCCCCAAGUUUUGCUGAAACUGUCAGAGGACACACACAUGGACGACUGUGCUAGUGCUUACUCUUUCUGAAAGUUCCAGAAACCACAGCUUCUGGUGAAGCGCCCUGCCGGAACAGCAGGCUUUAGAAAACAACAACAAAAAUCCCUCUGGGAUGAAAGAGGCUCAUUUGUUUUCAAGUUGUGGCCCUUCCACCCUCCGGGGGCCCCUCCCUCAUGCCUGCGUCUAAGGCUUUGAUUUAUAAUCUUCCACCCACGCAAGCCUUGGCAUCCGCUGGGAUCCUACAAUGAGGUUGAGGUGUAAACCUGGAGGAAACUUGUAAGGACAAGAGCAAGUUGGGGGUAGAGGGAAAGAGGGAGAGUGAGAGAGAGGAAAAGAAAUUAGGAGACCACACGCUUGGCACAAUUGAAUGAGCACAUGUGUUGGGAAGGCCCAGCUGACUAAGGAGUGCUGACUGUGGGUUUGGUGGCCAAGACCAUGCCUUUGGUUCUGCGGCACAGCUUCCAGCAGGAGAGCUCAUUGCCCAGUGCACUGUGACCAGGAUGGCUGGCAUGUGAACACUCCUCCUCUUUUGUCAGGAUUUCUUUUAUAGGCUUGCACAGCCAGAUCUGUGUUCCCAGCUGUAAGGCUGGGGAUUCAGUGUAUCCCCUGGGGGGUAAAUAGUAGCAGCUGCAAUCUUCUGCCAGAAAAGAACUUGCUGCCCCAGCUUGGAGGUUCAGCGGAUGAUGAGCCCAAGUUGUUCUGGAACACAAAAUAUGAUUCCCCAUGGGCCAACCUUUGCAAACUGCAAGAUGGCAAGCAAAUAUGGACCCUCGUGGUUCUAAUAGGUAUCACUAUGGCAGGGCUAGAUCGAUGGGCUUUCUUGAAAAGGAGGGAGCCUCAGAACUGAUGGAUUAGUGCCUGAAGGGAGUUGCAAGAUUCUCCUUGCACUUCUGAAGUCUGCGUAACUCAAAAUUCUCCCUUUGGCAAGUGUUUCUGAGGCAGCGUUGAAGCCAUGGGUUCUAGAGACUGACUCAGGUUAGAAGUCUGGCUCUGACACUUACCAUCCGGGUGACCUAGCGCAAUUUUCUCCCCUAGAAAACGGGGAUAAUACCCUCUACCUUACUGGAUUGUGGUUGUGUUAGAAAUAAUGUACGUAAAGUGCUUAGCAUAGUGUCCGAGCAUAUAAUAGAGGCUCAAUAAACACUUAGCCAGAGCUGUUGAUGAGAAAAUUAAUCUGGUUUAGCACUGAAGUAGUGGAAGAGAAGGAGAAACGGUAGUGACAUGUCUAAUACAACACACUUAGGAAAAACAAGCAUGGGGACAUUUAUUAUAUAUAGGACCAAGUAAACGCUCCAGAGGGACUCGGGGAGCCCAGGAGGUACAGAUGUUAAGCACCAAAGUCCAUGUCUGUCACUGCAGGAAAAGAACCAUAGAUGGUUUCUCAGGAUAUCUGGAGAGGGCAGGUAAUUCUUGGACUGUGUCAGAGGAAAUAAAUUUUAGCUGCAUAGCCUAGGCAAUGCUAUAAUUAGGUGACAACGGAUGAGAAUUGUGGAACUUACUACUUUCAUUGAUUUGUAAAUUCUGAUUUACAUGGGUUCCAUAGAGUCAAUCAUGCUGCAUUCACACUGGUACAAUGAUAAGACAAAUACUGUCCACAGCCCGUUCAGAAAGCACACUAACCCAAAAAAUGGCAUUUGGAGCCUCUGGUUUAGAAAUCAGAAGUUUGAAUCCAAAUCUUCAAUUUUUUGGACUAAUUAUUUUUUCUGUCAUUCUGCAUCUUCUAUAUUUUCCAAGAUCUACCAUAUAAUCACUUACCUUGAACAUUAAAACAAGACAAAUAUUUCUUAAGGGCAUGCAAUGAUAGGCACUGUGAAGGAUCCAAAGGAAUUGAACGUGCUUCCAGACUCCACAAUUGGCAGGAACUGACCAGAGAUUAGAAUCAUAUCCAGGCUUGUAUUCUUUAUUUUCUUAGCCACUCUUUAACAUUCUUCGCAUUCCCCAACUGGCUGAUUACAACACCUGAGUCAAGAUUGAUUGCUGUCUUCAAGCAUGUUUAGUAUUGACUGGAUCUAUUUAUAUGUAAAAAACAGCUAGCAAUUAUUGAGCUCCUACUAUGCGCAGGGCAUCCACAUUACACGUAUUCGUUCCUCUAGUCCUGAGAGGAACCGUAUGUGGUUCUUACAAUUAUCAACUUCAUUUUAUAAAUGAGGAAAUUGAAGCCUCGAGAUUAAGGAACCAGAGCAAGGUAACAGCCUAGGGAGUGUCAUCGCUAGGAAUUAAUGUGUAGGUGCAGAGAGGGGUAAGUCUCUUUGGAUGCCAGGGAAAGAAAUGAGAUGAAUCACACUGGGAAGGGGGACUGAAAUUUACAUUUUACCAUCUUCCAGACAACAGCUCAGUAAGGAAAGCUGCUUUUGUCACUUACAAAUAAUGCUGUAGAGGGCGCCAAAUAUACAAGCCGCGACGUUAAGGCUGUUUGGAUAAUAACACAGUUCCCACAGUGCUACCAGAUAUAUAAUCAGUAAUGGAUUCAAGCCAAAAGGCCCUCCCAAAAAGAGUAUGACGCAGUUUAUGAUAAUUAAGAAGCUGUAUUUCUAUCCCCUCAAUUAAAAAAAAGAAAGAAUCUCAUGCUUUAUAUUGAGCAAUUCAUAAUUUGUUUCUACUUGAUCCUGAUUGUUAUUCAAAGUACCUUUCAGCCGGGUGUUUAAUUUCUCUUUGCUCAGCCUGCUGAGUGGAGAAGGGAAAGGACAGAGCAACCUGGAUGGAAAUACAUUUCUAACAACUGCACUGAGAUGUAGUUUUAGCUUUUAAGUUUUACUUAACACAGUAAAACGUGCAUACAUUUAAGAAAAAGAAAAAAAUCCAUAUACAACAGCUUAAGUGAAAAGGAACAAGGCUCCAACCUCGAGUCAACAUCUUUUAGUGAUAACUCCACAUUUCCAAACAAAUCAAGAUAUAGAAAUAUAGACAUAUCAAACUAUUUACUUUCCUCUGUGAAAGUUGAGUUAGCUAACAGAAUAUACAUCUCUCAUAAAUCACAAAGUUUACAAAAUAAUCUUUAUUGUUUCCCACUAUUACAAGAGCAACACAUCAUCACUGCAGAACAUUUUAAAAAUAGAAAGAGGAAAUCAUUAACAUUUUGAUGUAUAUCCUUACGGGCACUUUUUUUUUUUUUUACGAAAAUGCGAUUACCGUGUGCAUGUGAUUUCAUUAAACUACACAUGAUGCUCAUCUCUCCGUGUCAGUAGACGGUCUUCCAUUUCACUUUGGGUUUGUCUUAUUGCAGCGUGAUUUACAUGGAGGUUAAGUGUUCUGAGGCGUAAGGAAGCUCCAGCUCCUCGGCCGUCGGGGUGUUGAGGGCACCGUCCAGGCUGUGUCGGGGGCCAGGACUGAGAGUCCUGCCGGGAGUGCAGAAUCGGACCCCGCCCGGCAGGGAAACGUUCUAACUCCUCAACACCGCAGGCCUCGGAGCACCGGGAGUCACUCACGAGCGGGGAGUUCGCCCAUUGUUCGGUGGAAGAUAACCUCUCGUCUAAUUCUUUGCAAUUCCCGUGUAAACUGCCCUAAGCACAGACAACGAGCAGAGUCAUCAGUGAACCAGAGAGAGAAGGCAGGCUGGCCUCUCUCCCGCGCCCGCCCUCUGCGCCCCAUCCCAACCGUCGGGCCAGCGUCGGGGAGCGCAGAGGCCGCCAGGCAGCGGCCUAAAACGUGUCGGGGUCGGGGCAGUUAGUCACCUCCUGGUACGCCUCCACUCCCUCGGCUCCCUGUGAGGUAGACCCCGCCGCCGUCACCAGCAACCCAGCCCGAGGCCGGCAUCCAUUUCCUCCCGGCGCCAGCGCAGCGGGCGCGCGGGCGGCGACCUGAGGCCAGAAGAUGGCGGCCGCGCCAGGCUCCGAGGCCGACGGAGCGCGGCGGGCGCAGAGCUGGCAGCGGCGCUGAGCAGGCUCUCCGGAGGGAGGGCGGCGCAGCGGGGUUAAGGGGAGCGGGCGACCAAGAGGGCACCGGGCACCGGAAGAGCCCCCGCCGCGCAACGGCCGCAGACGGCGCGGGCGGAAGCGGCCUGGCUGGGCGUCCGGCGCCGCCCGCCGCGGGGGAGCACGCUUCCUCUCUCCUCCGAGGCCGUGGCCCAGCUCCCCCGGCCCGCGGGCCUCCCGGCGGUCUCCGGCCUGAGAGGGCUGCGGCGCGCCCCGUCGCCCCGUGACGCAGGAAGCAGCGCGGCCGACGCCCUUCCCCGCGCGGGCCGGCCGCCAACGCCCGAGGCCGCGCCCGCCGCUCGCGCUCCGGACGGGCCGCGCGGGCGCCCACCCGCGAGAAAGGGGCGAGCCCUCACGAAGGCCGCCUCCCCCGGCGGGCGCGGCCGGGUGUCCGCAGACGACACUCGCAGCGCCGCUUCCACGGAAGGUCAGCGCCGGGUUCCGGAGCCUCCCCCUGUGGACCGGCCAGGCUCCGCGCGGGGCCGGCGUUCUCUCCAAACAGCUCCCCGGCCUGUCCUCGGCCCCUCUCGGCCAGCGGGCUUCCGCGAGGCCGCGGGGAGAGCACGCGCCGCGGCGUCCCCGCCCGGAGCCCGAGACAGUCCGAGCUGGGCGCCGCGAAGCACACUUGACCGGGCUGAGGAGGGAUUCGGAGGCCUCGCGGCACGACACUGGGGAAGGAAGGAACUGUUCAGGCCAUUUAGCUUAUUUCCCUGGAGCUGGCUCCUGGCCAGCAAAGAGCGUCCCGGGAAAAGGAAGCCACCACAGCAUGGCCUGAUGAGCAGUGUGUAGGUCCAUGCCUGGGAUCCGAACCUGUCAACCCUGAGCUGCUGAAGAGGAGCAAGCAAACCCAACCACUACACCACUGGGCUGGCGCCCCAUCACUCUUUUUUGACUAGUGAGCAAGAUAUAGGCCUUGGCUCACAACUUACUUAACCUAUUAGUUUCCGUUUCUCUUUAAGAUAAGGGUAUUGCCAAAAUGAUACUUCAGAGCAUGUUGUUGUACAAUCAACUACUACAGUCAUGCAUCACAUAACGAAGUUUCAGUCAAUGAUGGACCACGUAUACGACAGUGGUCCCCUAAGAUUAGUACCACAUAGUUUAUGUGUGUAGUAGGCUAUACCAUCUAGGUUUGUGUAAGUACACUCUCCUGUCAUACAACGAUGAAAUCGCCUAACGAACAACACAUUUCUCAGAACACAUCCCUGUUGUAAAGCUACGCAUGACUCAACCUAGCACUCAGUAGGUUAAGAGUGAGAUUAAGUCAAACUCCUACUAGAGAAGUAUGCACUAAAUCAAAGUUAACAUGUCUAUAUUUGCUAGUUGCUGUAUUUUCUUUAAUUACAUUUUCUUCCUGUAUGUCACUAAGAUAUGGGUUAUAAAGUCCUAUACUAAUGGCUUAAAUAUAUCAAGAACAUUUUUUACAUGUUAGUAUAAAUUCAUUUUAACGAAGGCGUAUGAACCCUAUCUACUGGGUGUGGCAUGGUAUAUGUAUAUAAUUCUUUGCCUGUUCAUUAGCCAAUUCUUACUAUUUGUAUCCUGACCUCCUGGCUAAGCUGGGUUCCGUCUUUUCUAUGAACUGACUGAUCCCUUGAUGACCAGCAGGCUCUCUGGGUUACUAGUUGCAUUUGAGCAUUAUUUGUUUUUAGAAGUCUUAUGUUCAAAAUAUUUCCUUUAAUUGCUCUAGUCCAGGAAUCCACAAAUUUUUUCCUGUCUAGGGUCAUAGGAAAUAUUUUAGGCUUUUCAGGCCAUGUAAGUCUCAGUCACAUAGGGCCCCCCACCACACCCCAACAAUCCUUUAAACAUGGAAAAAACGUUCUUAACUUCCAGGUUCUAAAAACAGAGGCUGUGCUUGCUGUAGCUUGCCCAUUCCCAUUCUGGUCCUUAACAGGAAAAGGGUAAAGAAAGCUCAACUUCAUGCAUGCAUGUAUGAUCACAGAAACUUAAAAGUGCUGGCUGGAUAUUUAAUUCAACUUGGUCUUGACCAUAAUGCUUUUUGGCAAAUCAGAUUAUUGCUGAGUGCUUCUGUUUGGUCAAUUAAUACAGCAAGUAUUAAAAUAUACUCACACUACAGCCUGGGGGAAGAGAAACAAUGAUUAUAAACUAAGAAAUAAAUGAAACUGAGAUUUAAGUUUAUUGCAACACAGGUACAACAAUCAUAUACUUAUGCAUAUAAUUUUAUAGUUUUACAUGUAACAAAUAGCUCCUAAAACUUGCCACUGUCAUUCUAGCAGCUAACAUAAUGGAAAUUACUGUUCUUUUAUGAAAGUAUUCCCAUAGGUUUAAAAAUAACACCUGGAAAAAGAACCUUUAAGUUUCUCCAACAGCUUCUUGUUUACUUGGUUAGUCUACUUAUGGAGUGAGCUACGCAUCCAAACAAGUUAUGCCGUUUCCACCUACCCAAGUCCUCACUGUACUCAUGUUUUGUGACACAGAAUCAAUUUAGGAUAUUGUAUUCAGUUCUAGGGGUCCUCAGGAAAAAAGAGCUGUCUAAAAACACAAUAAACUGCCCCAGUAUCACUGUGGCUAUUCAAACAGAGGUCAAUCACUCAUUGGGCAAACUAAUACAUGCAUAAAAAGGGAGAGGAAUUAGCUAACACUGGGUACCUUAGAGGGUUUUAGGCAAAUCCUAAAUUCUGUCAGUCUCCACUAUUAUUUGUUAAGCUUAUGCUGAACGGAGCAAGACUGACCACUGUGACAGCCCACAGAUACACCUGCUCUUUUAAGAUCUACAAGGUUUGCGAGGAAUUUUAAUGGGGUAUUCUUGUUCGUGUUUUUGGCCCUUGAAUAACUCUGGUUCUAAGAAUAGUGAUACUUUAGAUGAGUCUCUAGGGGCAAUAGAAACCAUCAAAUGAUUAACAACAAAAAAUGAAGGCCAACUUCUUCUCUUUAACACCUUUAACUCCAUCCUCAUCUCCACCCUUGGGUGCAUAUACAGCAUAGUUAUAACUGCAGCCACUCAUAAAUUAUUCUUCACUGCCUCUUGAGCAGUAAGAAUGAUUAACACAACGGAAUGCUAGAAGGACUAAAUUUCAUAUUCCAAUAAAUUUAUUAGGCAAGAGGAGUUAAAAUAUAGUCACCUUAAAAAAAUUUCUUCCCUUCUCACCCCACAAUUCUUUAUCUUAUCCAUAAUUAAAUGCAAUUAUGCUGUCUUCUGCCUUUCAGGUUAAAGAACCCCAUAGCUAAUGAUGUGGACUACUUUAUUUUCCAAUUUAGGGCAACUCUAACUUGAAAAAAUACCAAAGUCCCCAAAACUAAUAAGUGAUUUCUGCCCAGUGCUCUGAAUGUCAUAGUGAAGAAAUUCAAUGAAGUGAGGGUAACACAGGGAGUAACUAUGACUCUCAAGGUAGCCAAAUGCCUCAUCAUCUAAAUAAUGAUGCUUAUGAAUGGAUGAACAAGAUUCCCAAGGUCCCUACCUAGUAACUAGUGAAACACAGCCAAGACAACUAGCUUUGCAGAAUCAGCAGGGAAAGACCUGGUUGAGCUUAACUUGGAUCCAAAGGAAACUAAAUGGUACACUUUCUGUUUCUGGUUCAUCUUCUGGGUAAUAUACCAGCCAUAGUGGGAGAUACUCAAGAUUGAAAGACAUGUCAGUAUACUCAGAAACAAUCACACACACACAAAUCAAUGUUUAUUACCAGCCUGAUGAAAGAACGAAUUUUUUUAGUUUACUCUAUUUUUUUUAUAUGUAUCUCCAUAUGCUUUGGCAUUUGGCAUAAUUGACUUACUGAAGUAAUUUGUUCUUAUAUUUAGCUUUUAUAAAUGAAAAAAAAAUCAAAAGAAGCUUAUUUACCAAUCUAAAGUGGGGACUUUAAACAUACGGGAUCAAGACAGCUGACUUUGUUGAUAAGCAAGUCAAUGUCUCUCAGGCUGAAGGCACAGUAAUCAGUGAAGAGACAGGUGAGUGUGUGUGGUUAAAAAAAAAAUCAUCUGAUUUAUCAAAUUAUGAAGCAAAGACAUAUUUCUUUGGCCAGUGUAUUACCUCCAAGGAGGUAAACUAUGGAAGAAAUCUAAUUAUAGUCAUAAAGUUGCCUGGUGAACAUGAUACCAAAACAUGUGGAAAUAUAUGAUGAGGAAAUUUACUGACAUUAGGCCUGAAUUUUUUAUGUUGAAAUGGAUCCUUAAAGUCCUAGCUCAUGACAUCUAAAUUUCUUAAGAUCUACUGCUCUUAAGUUACUAAUACUAAAUAAAGUGAUGCUUCUUUCUAGUCAGAUUUGCACUUCUGGGAUUAAAAAUGACUGGCUUGACAUUUAGGGGAAAAUAGUAACCUUAAUUAAAAGAUCACAUUGUCUAAACAUCUUAGAAUAAUUAGUUGUAAAAGUAGUAGGGUGAAAUGUCACUAUGUUUAAAAUAAGUUAACCCCUCCCCUUUUAAGAUACUCAUAUAUAUUAAAAGUGCGGAGGAGUUUAGAAAUAAGGCUUUUUUCCCCCCACAAUGAACCUAAACACUCCUAAAAGACGAGAAACUGGUUCCCAGACUAACAAGACUUGACACUUAUCUACUAGAGGAAAAACUUCAGUCCAUCAGAAUAUUCUAAAUUUCUUAUAAAACAACUUAUGUUGCUGUUCUGAUGAAAUCUUCAAGAAAUGCAAGAAAAGGUUCACAGCAAUAGUACCCCAAGCUUCUCAGGUCAGAGGUCUAACACUACAGUAACGCUCCUCAAAAAAGAAAUGAAGAAAUACUGUCUUUGCACUGUAGCUUUAUAUAGACUUUAGUGAAAUGCUUCAUUCCACCUAUCUGUAUUUAUCAAAGUGGCAUUUACAUGUAAAGUACUUGAGGAUGAGAGGUUUGUCAAAAAUGCAUAUUCCAGUGUCACACUAAGUAGUCUGGCAUAUGGUUCUUCAGGAAUUGCUACAUUCUGAGAAAAUGAUGAAUGAUGAUACCUAACAUUUUGUUUUGAGAACUCUGGGUGUGGAGCCCAGGAAUGUAUAGUUUAAUAAGCUUCCCAGAUAAUUAUGGUGUUCAAACUGGCUUGGGAACCACUAACUUGCAGCAUUUUAACAUGCCUAUAGAAGGGAAACAUUUUAAAAAGUGGAUUCUUUUUAAAGGUUGGUAGCCAUGACCUAUAAUCCUGGGCAUAAGAAUUUGCCUUCAAUGAAAACUGAUUAAGUUGUUAGAAAGGGGCGACCAACUAAGUUCUGCCUUGAGAAUUAAAUGCGUCACGAUAUUUCUACUAGUUUUUUAUGUAGUACCUUCAAGUGACACAUGGGAAAAGAAAUCUGUUGCUAUCUGUGUAACAGAAUGUAUCAACUUAUUUAAUGUUAGAAAUCUUAGAAGUGAUUUUUAAUUUAGUGCCAAACCUUCCCAAAGAAUAUAAAAUUCCUUGUGUGGGAGGGAUUGAUUAGCACAUUAAUGGAUUCAACUUUAUAGAAAUGGGUAUUAACAUAAUCUACUGUUGAUUGUAAACCAUUCAAAAUUGCAGCUAAAUAACUUUCCAGGCAGAGAUAAACAUGUAUGUUUCCCAAUGCCAUUUGUCCCCAGGAUUGUUGCUGCACAUCGGUAAGCAUUUAUGGAUUUCGAAACAUAUUUGUAGGACCACAGCUAUACUUUUGAAAUUAGAUGCUAGAAUCUAGCUCUGAGCUUCCAUCCUGUUAACAGGGUUGCUGAACUGUUUAGAAGAGCUAGCCAUGGGAAAGUUCUCUUCUCUAAUUAAAGUACCUCUACAGUUACUUUUUAUUUCUAUUACGCAUUGGAAAGGCAGGUUAUCCUGAAAACAUUUAUAACUGAACACCAGAGGAUGUAUCAGAACUUUCAAUUUGCCCAACACAAUGUAACGCUUUGUUGAGAGGCUGCGUUCACCAGCAUCAGACCCAAGAGCACCAGCAAACGUUUCACCUGGACUUGCUAGUCUUUCAGGAUAACUGUGCCUGAUGAAACCUAAGAGGAAAAGAUGGCCAGUUAUUUUCUUGAUAUUCUUUUUUUCUGGAAUAAGGAUGGCUUUGCUCUUGAACACAAAUCAUUAACAAUUUUAGGUUUCCUAACUUUUAACUACAAAAAUACAUCUCUAACCCUCUUUCCUUCUUUUCACAAUCAAAAUUUAGGAGCUAUUUUGCAGAUUUAUUCUUAUACCCAAAGAGAGACCUAAUUAAUUCAAACGUUUACCUGAGCACUUACUGUGUCCUAAGUAUUAACGCCAAGUGCUACGCAUUUUAUCUGAAGGAGACAACGCAACUUCAACACUGCCCUUCAGGGGCUCACAUUCUAGCAGGGCGUGGACAUUCUAAAUCAUCGUAACAAACUGCAAUAAGCACUAUAAUAGAGCUGGGUAAAAGGUACAUGGAAUUAUAAACAACGGACUUCCUGGAAGAACACCAGAGAAAGCUCAGAGAGGAGAAACACUUGAACUGAAGGAUGCAUUCCCAAGGGGGAGGAAGUGGGUGUUCCAUGGAGAGAAGAUAGUAUGUAUAUACAAAAGAAAGGAGGUCUGAGAGAACAAUGUUUAUGUUUGGGGAACUGAAGGCAGAAAUAAUAUGGGUGGAAGCAAAAGAAGGAGCAACUGGAUCCUUGGAACAAAGGCUGGAGACAGAUCACAGAAAGUGCCUUGUAUGCUACCCUAAGGAGCAUUAAAGGAUUUCGCGUAAGAUCAGACUCACAUUUUAGUAAAAUCACUUUAAAGAACGACAGAUAG